rnacentral:rRNA from 1 species
AUUGAACGCUGGCGGCAUGCCUUACACAUGCAAGUCGAACGGCAGCAUGGAGAGCUUGCUCUCUGAUGGCGAGUGGCGAACGGGUGAGUAAAGCAUCAGAACGUACCGUGUAGUGGGGGAUAACGUAGCGAAAGUUACGCUAAUACCGCAUACGCACUGAGGUGGAAAGCAGGGGAUCGCAAGACCUUGCGCUAUACGAGCGGCCGAUGUCAGAUUAGCUAGUUGGGAGGGUAAAGGCCUACCAAGGCGACGAUCUGUAGCGGGUCUGAGAGGAUGAUCCGCCACACUGGGAACUGAGACACGGCCCAGACUCCUACGGGAGGCAGCAGUGGGGAAUUUUGGACAAUGGGGGCAACCCUGAUCCAGCCAUGCCGCGUGAGUGAAGAAGGCCUUCGGGUUGUAAAGCUCUUUCGGCCGGGAAGAAAUCGCACAGGCUAAUACUCUGUGUGGAUGACGGUACCGGCAUAAGAAGCACCGGCUAACCACGUGCCAGCAGCCGCGGUAACAC